rnacentral:misc_RNA from 1 species
GAUGAAGAACGCAGCGAAAUGCGAUAAGUAAUGUGAAUUGCAGAAUUCAGUGAAUCAUCGAAUCUUUGAACGCACAUUGCGCCCCCUGGUAUUCCGGGGGGCAUGCCUGUCCGAGCGUCAUUACAACCCUCAAGCUCAGCUUGGUGUUGGGCCCCGCCGCCCCGGCGGGCCCUAAAGUCAGUGGCGGUGCCGUCCGGCUCCGAGCGUAGUAAUUCUUCUCGCUCUGGAGGUCCGGUCGUGUGCUCGCCAGCAACCCCCAAUUUUUUUCAGGUUGACCUCGGAACAGGUAGGGAUACCCGCUGAACUUAAGCAUAUCAAUAAGCGGAGGA